rnacentral:lncRNA from 1 species
UUGGAAUUUUUUUGGUGUUUCUAUGAUUAAAUAGAUACUUAUGUACCUAGAAAUGAUUUUUGUAAAAAAUAAAGAGCAAACUAUGAGGCAGCUACAGUUCAAAUUUGACCCGUUUCCAGCUGAAUCGACGACAAUUUGUCUUUUUCAUCAGAGGUGGAUCAAAACUUUUUUCACCCAACCAUUUUGUCAAUUGUGCAUUAUAUAUGGCCUAGUAUUUUAUAAAGUUGAUUUGGUCCAUUUCUGCAACAAUUAUUUGGUAGUUCCUUCACAAAAAAACCUCCUAUUGGGCACUCGGAAAAUGAAAAAUGAAAUUUCUAUGCAAAGAAAAUAAAAACUUCCUUAGGCAACAUUGUUUGGAAUACCAAGAUGUACCAGUAUGCACAAUAUGAGAUCAUUUGAACAAACUAUGCCAUGAAUGUGGCCAUAAGAUUGAUCAUUUGGCUUGAAAGCCAUGAAUCUUCACGCAUGAUAGCUCAUUUCUUAGAACACUUUUUUAAAAUAAUUACUGUAUUACAAGUUUAUUAUUUUUCCUGGAAACUUGGUCACAUAUAGUGACACAAUGCGAAUGUUUUCCAAUUUUUUGAUAUUUUUUGAAUUUUUUAUGCCCGUUUCGAAAUGCGGUCAAAACGGCGGGCUUGACCGUUCCUAUCUAGUGGUUGAAUCUUGGAAUUUUUUUGGUGUUUCUAUGAUUAAAUAGAUACUUAUGUACCUAGAAAUGAUUUUUUGAAAAAAUAAAUAGCAAACUAUGAGGUAGCUUCAGUUGAAAUUUGACCCGUUUCCAGUUGAGUCGACGGGAAUUUGUCUUUUUCACCAGAGGUGGAUCAAAACUUUUUACACCCAACCAUUUGGUCAAUUGUGCAUUAAACAUGGCCUCGUAUUUUGUAAAAAUAAUUUGGUACAAUUUUGCAACAAAGAUAUGGUAGGUGCUUUACAAAAAAACUCGUUUUGGGAACUCGAAAAAAUGAAAAAUGGAUUUUUUGUCCAAUGAAAAUGAAAACUUUCUUAGCCAACAUCUUUUGCCAUUUCAUGAUGCACCCUUGUGCACAAUAUGCGAUAAUUUGAAAAAACUAUGCCAUUCGAAGAUGCACCUUGUGCAAAAAAUACAAAAGAAACAAAUAGAAAAAACAUAAUUACAUAAGCUUUGUUCUCAUUGGUUGAAACGUUUGUGCCAUGGAUCGAUGACAUGGCAUCCAUCCAUCCAUCCAUCCAUCCCAUUUAUCUAAAGAGAAAAAAGACAAAAAGAAAAUGAAAACCCUACCCGCAGCCCAACCACCCAAACCCUAACUCAGAUCCCCUCCCACUCUAUCGCCGUCGCCCCUUCUCCCCCAGAUCCAAUCGCCCUCCUCCCCCUCCCACUCCAUCGCCGCCCCCCUUCUCCCCCAGAUCCAAUCGCCCUUGUCCCCCUUCACCUCGCCGCCGGCCUCACUCUCCCCCUCUCUUCUCUGCCCACCCCACUCCCUCCACCUACCGCGUCCACAGAGCCAGAACCCCUCGCCCAGCCGUGUGCCCUCGUCGGCUCGGCCAUGUCCUCAUCGGCCCAUGGGUUCCCAUCGAGGAGAUCGAGGAUGCCGUGCGUUUUCCUUCUCUUUCUCGUUGCGCUGCCGCGUUCAAGUAGAAUGACCUGACGCCGACGCCAAGUGGUUAUGCUUGCAGGCCCGGGAGCGACG